AGGUGCCUCUGCAGAUAUAUGAUAGAAUUGAAAGGAUACAAAGAAGGUUAACAUGGUUCCCGUGCAAGAAUGACAUGCAUAAAUAUAAAAAAAUAAAAAAAAUAU